GGCUUUGCGGCAGGCCUACACAUGCAGUCGAGCGGUAGCACAGAGAGCUUGCUCUCGGGUGACGAGCGGCGGACGGGUGAGUAAUGUCUGGGAAACUGCCUGAUGGAGGGGGAUAACUACUGGAAACGGUAGCUAAUACCGCAUAACGUCGCAAGACCAAAGUGGGGGACCUUCGGGCCUCAUGCCAUCAGAUGUGCCCAGAUGGGAUUAGCUAGUAGGUGGGGUAAUGGCUCACCUAGGCGACGAUCCCUAGCUGGUCUGAGAGGAUGACCAGCCACACUGGAACUGAGACACGGUCCAGACUCCUACGGGAGGCAGCAGUGGGGAAUAUUGCACAAUGGGCGCAAGCCUGAUGCAGCCAUGCCGCGUGUAUGAAGAAGGCCUUCGGGUUGUAAAGUACUUUCAGCGAGGAGGAAGGCGUUAAGGUUAAUAACCUUGGUGAUUGACGUUACUCGCAGAAGAAGCACCGGCUAACUCCGUGCCAGCAGCCGCGGUAAUACGGAGGGUGCAAGCGUUAAUCGGAAUUACUGGGCGUAAAGCGCACGCAGGCGGUCUGUCAAGUCGGAUGUGAAAUCCCCGGGCUCAACCUGGGAACUGCAUUCGAAACUGGCAGGCUAGAGUCUUGUAGAGGGGGGUAGAAUUCCAGGUGUAGCGGUGAAAUGCGUAGAGAUCUGGAGGAAUACCGGUGGCGAAGGCGGCCCCCUGGACAAAGACUGACGCUCAGGUGCGAAAGCGUGGGGAGCAAACAGGAUUAGAUACCCUGGUAGUCCACGCCGUAAACGAUGUCGACUUGGAGGUUGUGCCCUUGAGGCGUGGCUUCCGGAGCUAACGCGUUAAGUCGACCGCCUGGGGAGUACGGCCGCAAGGUUAAAACUCAAAUGAAUUGACGGGGGCCCGCACAAGCGGUGGAGCAUGUGGUUUAAUUCGAUGCAACGCGAAGAACCUUACCUACUCUUGACAUCCAGAGAACUUAGCAGAGAUGCUUUGGUGCCUUCGGGAACUCUGAGACAGGUGCUGCAUGGCUGUCGUCAGCUCGU
rnacentral:rRNA from 1 species